UAGAUCUUCAUCCACUGUAGUACAGCGGUGUGCCAUCCCUCCUCUGGCUCCUGUGAGCAAAGCUGCACUAGGAAAAGAAGAGACACGCACGUCAAGACCAUCUCUAGUGGGCAAACUGUGGUGUCUAGUGGAGAAGUUAACCUGGUCAAGUGAAUUUUAGUGUUUUAAUAAACUUCAUGAAACUCAA